rnacentral:tRNA from 1 species
GCGCCGGUGGUUCCGGGCGACAUCAUGAUGGACACGACGAUGGACUACGAUUCCAUCGCCAAGGCCGGUUCGAUGCUCGGCUCCGGCGCG